AUUGAACGCUGGCGGCAUGCUUUACACAUGCAAGUCGAACGGUAACAGGUCUUCGGAUGCUGACGAGUGGCGAACGGGUGAGUAAUGUAUCGGAACGUGCCCAGUAGUGGGGGAUAACUACUCGAAAGAGUGGCUAAUACCGCAUGAGAACUGAGGGGGAAAGCGGGGGAUCGCAAGACCUCGCGUUAUACGAGCGGCCGAUGUCGGAUUAGCUAGUUGGUGGGGUAAAGGCCCACCAAGGCGACGAUCCGUAGCGGGUCUGAGAGGAUGAUCCGCCACACUGGGACUGAGACACGGCCCAGACUCCUACGGGAGGCAGCAGUGGGGAAUUUUGGACAAUGGGGGCAACCCUGAUCCAGCCAUGCCGCGUGCGGGAAGAAGGCCU
rnacentral:rRNA from 1 species